rnacentral:rRNA from 1 species
AACGCGUAGGUAACCUGCCUUGUAGCGGGGGAUAACUAUUGGAAACGAUAGCUAAUACCGCAUAACAAUGGAUGACACAUGUCAUUUAUUUGAAAGGGGCAAUUGCUCCACUACAAGAUGGACCUGCGUUGUAUUAGCUAGUAGGUGAGGUAACGGCUCACCUAGGCGACGAUACAUAGCCGACCUGAGAGGGUGAUCGGCCACACUGGGACUGAGACACGGCCCAGACUCCUACGGGAGGCAGCAGUAGGGAAUCUUCGGCAAUGGGGGCAACCCUGACCGAGCAACGCCGCGUGAGUGAAGAAGGUUUUCGGAUCGUAAAGCUCUGUUGUAAGUCAAGAACGAGUGUGAGAGUGGAAAGUUCACACUGUGACGGUAGCUUACCAGAAAGGGACGGCUAACUACGUGCCAGCAGCCGCGGUAAUACGUAGGUCCCGAGCGUUGUCCGGAUUUAUUGGGCGUAAAGCGAGCGCAGGCGGUUUGAUAAGUCUGAAGUUAAAGGCUGUGGCUCAACCAUAGUUCGCUUUGGAAACUGUCAAACUUGAGUGCAGAAGGGGAGAGUGGAAUUCCAUGUGUAGCGGUGAAAUGCGUAGAUAUAUGGAGGAACACCGGUGGCGAAAGCGGCUCUCUGGUCUGUAACUGACGCUGAGGCUCGAAAGCGUGGGGAGCGAACAGGAUUAGAUACCCUGGUAGUCCACGCCGUAAACGAUGAGUGCUAGGUGU